AUGUCAGUCUCCUGGCCCCGACCUCCAGGCAGUACCAGGGCAGCUCCAGGGCAGCACCAGGGCAGCUCCAGGCAGUACCAGGGCAGCUCCAGGCAGCACCAGGGCAGCUCCAGGCAGCACCAGGGCAGCUCCAGGCAGUACCAGGGCAGCACCAGGCAGCACCAGGGCAGCUCCAAGGCAGCACCAGGGCAGCUCCAGGCAGCACCAGGGCAGCUCCAGGCAGCACUGGGGCAGCACCAGGGCAGCUCCAAGGCAGCUCCAGGGCAGCUCCAAGCAGUACCAGGGCAGCUCCAGGCAGCACCAGGGCAGCUCCUGGCAGCACCAGGGCAGCUCCAGGCAGUACCAGGGCAGCACCAGGCAGCACCAGAGCAGCUCCAGGGCAGCACCAGGGCAGCUCCAGGCAGCACCGGGGCAGCACCAGGGCAGCUCCAAGGCAGCUCCAGGGCAGCUCCAGGCAGUACCAGGGCAGCUCCAGGCAGCACCAGGGCAGCUCCAGGCAGCACCAGGGCAGCACCAGGCAGCACCAGAGCAGCUCCAGGGCAGCACCAGGGCAGCUCCAGGCAGCACCAGGGCAGCUCCAGGCAGCACCGGGGCAGUACCAGGGCAGCUCCAGGUAGCACCAGGGCAGCUCCAGGCAGCACCGGGGCAGCACCAGGGCAGCUCCAAGGCAGCUCCAGGGCAGCUCCAAGCAGUACCAGGGCAGCUCCAGGCAGCACCAGGGCAGCUCCAGGCAGUACCAGGGCAGCACCAGAGCAGCUCCAGGGCAGCACCAGGGCAGCUCCAGGCAGCACCAGGGCAGCUCCAGGCAGUACCAGGGCAGCUCCAGGGCAGCUCCAAGGCAGCUCCAGGGCAGCUCCAGGCAGCACCAGGGCAGCUCCAGGGCAGCUCCAGGACAGCUCCAGGGCAGCACCAGGCAGCACAGUCCGCACAUCUCAGCGGCAGCCGAGGCACCGCAGGAUGCUCAGCAUCCCUGACCUCUCGUGUUUACAUCAAGCACCUAGUGACUCCUACACUGUCGCACCUGGGCGUUUAAGGGGUGGCCUGAUGCUCGCCCAUGGCUCCAACCCUCCCCUCCCCCCGCUAUUGUCGCAGCAAGCCCGGUGCCUUGCCUGUGCUGCUGGGAGGUCAGUGCAGGGAAGCACGUGCGGAACCACCCGUCCUGAGAGUACCGCGCGGCCGGUAGAUGGAGAAGCACGCAGCCGGGCUCAGAGCCGGGCAUCGCUCAGUGGGUGA
rnacentral:lncRNA from 1 species